rnacentral:rRNA from 1 species
UACGAAGGGGGCUAGCGUUGUUCGGAAUCACUGGGCGUAAAGGGCGCGUAGGCGGUUCUUCAAGUCUCUCGUGAAAUCCCUCGGCUUAACUGAGGACGUGCGGGAGAUACUGAAGGGCUUGAGUCCGGAAGAGGGUGGUGGAAUUCCCAGUGUAGCGGUGAAAUGCGUAGAUAUUGGGAGGAACACCGGUGGCGAAGGCGGCCACCUGGGCCGGAACUGACGCUGAGGCGCGAAAGCGUGGGGAGCAAACGGG